rnacentral:rRNA from 1 species
UGGCGUCUUCGGCGUCCGCAUUGUAAUCUCAAGAAGUGUUUUCCGCUUCGGACCAUGCCUAAGUCCCUUGGAAAAGGGCAUCAUAGAGGGUGAUAAUCCCGUACAUGGCAUGGAGCGCCCGAAGCUUUGUGAUACGCUUUCUAAGAGUCGAGUUGUUUGGGAAUGCAGCUCAAAAUGGGUGGUAAAUGCCAUCUAAGGCUAAAUAUUGGGGAGAGACCGAUAGCGAACAAGUACAGUGAUGGAAAGAUGAAAAGAACUUUGAAAAGAGAGUUAAACAGUACGUGAAAUUGCCAAAAGGGAAGGGUAGGAGGUCAGAGAUGCGGCCUGGGAUUCAGCCUUGCUUUUGCUUGGUGUUUUUCCCAGAUUGCAGGCCAACGUCGGUUUUGGGCACUGGAGAAGGGUAGGAGGAACGUGGCACCUCUCGGGGUGUGUUAUAGCCUCCUACUGGAUACAGCGACCGAGACCGAGGACAGCAGCGUACUCGCAAGAGCGGGCCUUC